UGCCUGCCUCUAUCUUUCUCCGUCUGGAAGACGUAAUCCAGGAUUCACUUGGUUGGAAAUGAAAUUUGUUAAUAUGAUUGUGGAAAUAAAUCCAAAAAUGGUAAUUGAAAGGAAGUUUUGUAAUAUGCUGUGGUAGAAAAGAGAAGAAGAGGGAUUGAAAUUGGUAAGGUUCUAAAGUUUGAUUGAAAUCAGUAAGGUUCGAAAGUUUGAAACUGUGGUAGAAAGGAGAAGAAGAGGGAUUGAAAUGGGUAAGGUUCUAAAGUUUGCAGCUUUCAUUUGGUUAGAUUUUGGGGGUUGCGUUUUUGUUGUUUUUUGCUGGAAUUGGGUUUUGGGUUUGAUUUGUUGUUUGGUUGUCUUUCGCAGUUCUAAAUAUUGUUCACUGGAAUAUCUAGGAAAGAAGAAUAGGGACUGAAAUCGGUAAGAUUCCAGAAUUUGAAGCUUUGAUUUGAUAAUUUUGUCGCGCGAUUGUCACGGUCGAUUGUACUUGGAUCUCAAUAUUGUGUUAUUAUGGGUUUUCGGUUUGAUCUGUUGUUUGGUUAUCUUCCGCAGUUCUAAAUAUUGUUCAUUGGAAUGUUUGGGUGUUUUUGCUCUGUUGAAUCACCUUUCGUUCUUAUAAUGUCAUAUUUUUGGUAUGUUGGGUUUUGAGAAAUAAGAUAGCUACAAAGAAAGUAUGCAGUUUAUUGAUCAUAUUUGGUAUGCUGCAUUUUGAUCCUUAAGGAUUAGACUUUGCAAUUAGAAGUGGAGAUUAUU